UACAGAGGGGGCAAGCGUUGUUCGGAAUUACUGGGCGUAAAGGGCGCGUAGGCGGCCUGUUAAGUCGAACGUGAAAUCCCCGGGCUCAACCCGGGAACUGCGUCCGAUACUGGCAGGCUUGAAUCCGGGAGAGGGAUGCGGAAUUCUAGGUGUAGCGGUGAAAUGCGUAGAUAUCUGGAGGAACACCGGUGGCGAAGGCGGCAUCCUGGACCGGCAUUGACGCUGAGGCGCGAAAGCCAGGGGAGCAAACGGG
rnacentral:rRNA from 1 species